AUGGGUUUCACCUAUACAACAAGAAAAGAGUCCGAUGAGGAGGAGUCGAAAGAAGAUGAUGAAAUGGAAGUACCACAAGAUGUUGAAGACGACGGGGGGGCAGAUGAGGAUGAAUCAGAGGAGGAGGACAAAGAGGAGGAUGGAAAAGAAGAAGAGGAUGAUGAGGAGGAUGAGGAGGAGGAGGAAGAGGAGGAGGAGGACAAAGAAAAAGAGGACAAAGGAGAGGAGGAGGGCAAGGAAGAAGAUAGUGAGGCAGAGGAGGAGGAACAAGAAAAUGAGGCCAAAGAAGAGAUGGAAACAAAGCUGCAGCAAUCGAUGGUAGUGAGGGUGAGGGAGAUGACAAGGAUGCCGAUCCUGAUGAUCAAGAGGGAUCCAAUGGAGGCAAUGACAGUUCAGAUGAUGAUGAUGAAAAUGCCCCUGGUUCUUGUGGUACAUGCGGCAACACAACCAGGUCUCAGGGCAACAUUGACAUGUUCAAGCUGUGCAACAUGA
rnacentral:rRNA from 1 species